rnacentral:rRNA from 1 species
AUUGAACGCUGGCGGCAGGCUUAACACAUGCAAGUCGAGCGGAGCGAGGGUGCUUGCACCUUAGCUUAGCGGCGGACGGGUGAGUAAUGCUUAGGAAUCUGCCUAUUAGUGGGGGACAACAUUCCGAAAGGAAUGCUAAUACCGCAUACGUCCUACGGGGGAAAGCAGGGGAUCUUCGGACCUUGCGCUAAUAGAUGAGCCUAAGUCGGAUUAGCUAGUUGGUGGGGUAAAGGCCUACCAAGGCGACGAUCUGUAGCGGGUCUGAGAGGAUGAUCCGCCACACUGGGACUGAGACACGGCCCAGACUCCUACGGGAGGCAGCAGUGGGGAAUAUUGGACAAUGGGCGGAAGCCUGAUCCAGCCAUGCCGCGUGUGUGAAGAAGGCCUUUUGGUUGUAAAGCACUUUAAGCGAGAGGAGGCUACUGAGACUAAUACUCUUGGAUAGUGGACGUUACUCGCAGAAUAAGCACCGGCUAACUCUGUGCCAGCCGCCGCCGUAAAAC